GAUGAACGCUGGCGGCGUGCCUAAUACAUGCAAGUCGAGCGAACGGACGAGAAGCUUGCUUCUCUGAUGUUAGCGGCGGACGGGUGAGUAACACGUGGAUAACCUACCUAUAAGACUGGGAUAACUUCGGGAAAACGGAGCUAAUACCGGAUGAUAUUUUGAACCGCAUGGUUCAAAAGUGAAAGACGGUCUUGCUGUCACUUAUAGCUGGAUCCGCGCUGCAUUAGCUAGUUGGUAAGGUAACGGCUUACCAAGGCAACGAUGCAUAGCCGACCUGAGAGGGUGAUCGGCCACACUGGAACUGAGACACGGUCCAGACUCCUACGGGAGGCAGCAGUAGGGAAUCUUCCGCAAUGGGCGAAAGCCUGACGGAGCAACGCCGCGUGAGUGAUGAAGGUCUUCGGAUCGUAAAACUCUGUUAUUAGGGAAGAACAUAUGUGUAAGUAACUGUGCACAUCUUGACGGUACCUAAUCAGAAAGCCACGGCUAACUACGUG
rnacentral:rRNA from 1 species